rnacentral:rRNA from 1 species
UACAGAGGUCCCGAGCGUUGUUCGGAUUCAUUGGGCGUAAAGGGUGCGUAGGUGGCGCGGUAAGUCGGGUGUGAAAUCUCGGAGCUUAACUCCGAAACUGCAUUCGAUACUGCCGUGCUUGAGGACUGGAGAGGAGACUGGAAUUUACGGUGUAGCGGUGAAAUGCGUAGAUAUCGUAAGGAAGACCAGUGGCGAAGGCGGGUCUCUGGACAGUUCCUGACGCUGAGGCACGAAGGUCAGGGGAGCAAACGGG